UCUACGCCAACAAUGACUUGCCCACUUGAGGCGGCAAGCGGAUCAUCCCCGAGUGAUGUGUCGCCAUCCUCAGCAGAAUGGUUCUUGCCAGCGGCAAAAGCGAGACGGGUUUGACGAAAGGCAGAAAGUGCCACAAGGGCUCGGGCAGGUGGGAACCAUUCACGGGUUUGGAGCAAGAUAUCAGAUCCAUUAUUGGGUUGGAGGGAGAGAGCUAAACAGGACAUUGCUAACCCUAGUCUCUUUUAGAUCUAGGGUUUUUAUUAAAUUGGUGUCAGAUCUUGAUACUCUGAUCAGAGUGUAGUUUCAAUAUGGGGUUACCUGUUAAAGAUUCAGGAAGUUUCGGGCAUUACAUCUAGUGAGAGAGAUGACGUUCAAGAGUAAUAGAGGAAAGUUAAAAUUGAGAUGAAAAGAUGAAAAGAUGUAAAUUGGAAUAAAUUAGAUAUGGAAACACCGAGAAAGGUGAGAACGGGAUGUGGAUGUACUUACUAUAGGUGUGUAAAAUGUUGGGAAAUCAGUUCCUGCCUGCCUGAUGCUUGAAUCUUCAUUUUCUUCAAAUAUGAGCUUGGCGUAGAGAGGAGAGAGACGACGAUUACAGAUGAGAUGAGACUCGGGUAAAUGGGCCUAUUUAAGUAUAAAUUGUUUCGGGCCUACAACAGACACGGAUGCAUAUUCAAAUGGAGACCGCAAUCAGUUACAUUUUUUUAUAAAAAUAAUAAUAAUUAGCAAGCUAUAAUUAUCCCCCCGCAAGAUACUCAACCUUUUAGAACUAUUUCAGCAUUAAAAAUUUUAAAAUACACAAGUAAACAUAAUAUUCUUUUCAAUAAAAUCUUAAUAAUAUUCUCGUUAUCACUUUUUAAAAUCAAUUUGAUAUGAAAAAUAAUAUAUGUUGCGAAAAAAAAAAAAAGAAAAACGUUUUUGCAAAAAUUUUAAAUUUAAUGUUGAAGUAAAUUCAUUGAAAUUUUUAAAAUUAAAAAAAUUGUAAUUAAUAAUAAAUUGUAAAUAGUUCAAAAUUUGUAAUUUUCAAUAAUUUUUAAGUAUUUUACAACAUUCACAAUUGUAUUGUAUUGACUAUAUAAUUAAAUUAAAGAAAAUUGUUAAACCCACAACACUUGUUAUUUUCAUAACAAAAGUGUCGCUGUAGAUGUAUAGCGAUGGUGAAAACUGUAACUAUAAGAUCUAUAACGACACUUUUUUUGUAGAAAUAAUAUUUUUUGUUGUGAAUUUAACCGUUAAUCAUAAAAUUUUACUUUAUUAAAUGUAUUCAAUAAAAAAUUAAAUAUUAUGUGUUGCAUGCGCCUAGUCCUUUAAAUGAUGAGUAAUAAAUAAAUAAUUAUUGUGAUCAAAUAAGAAUAAAUUUCACGUAAAUUAUAUGGUAGUAUAUAUAGACGGUUUUGUCCCAUCUUUCCACACAUUAAUUCCCCNNNNNNNNNNNNNNNNNNNNNNNNNNNNNNNNNNNNNNNNNNNNNNNNNNNNNNNNNNNNNNNNNNNNNNNNNNNNNNNNNNNNNNNNNNNNNNNNNNNNCCACCAAGACCCUGGGAUUUUGCAGCUUUCUUUGGACCAACAAACUCUGAUGCAUCCAAACCACCACCCCAAGCUUGAUUGAGCCCUUCAAAAUCUUCCGGCAAGGUGGAGCUAUCAUGACCAAACUCGAUACCACCAUACUCCCCUUCAAAUCCUUCAACCCCAAUGUGUGUCGACUGUGUGGCCGCUGCUGGUGGUAAUGUGGUGACGUCCAGACCCGCCAAUGCCUUUGACAAAUCAGAACCUGCCUGCUCUUUAUCUUUCUUAAACCCACCCACAAGCUCCUCGGGCUUAUUAAGCUUCUCACUAGCUGCAAAAGGAUCCUUCUCCACUUCAUCCUCUUCCACUUUUUCCUUCUGAUCUGUCUCAGCAGACAUGCCCUGUCCAGUUAAAACAAGUGUUGCCGCAACCUCAUCACCUGCCUCCAACGUCUCCAUAGGCAAUUCAAAACUAGCCAUCGAAAACGAUUGCACACUAACCUCAUGCUCAACAGAAUGAAUUUCAACAUCAGUCCAACUAUCCGCCCCCCUAAUCUUAUUCUCUGUAUGUAUAGCUGAAUGAACCAUUUUGGAAAGAUUAUCCCCGUGCAAAGAUGCAAGCAUUGCCGCUAGCCUAAUAUUACUAACACCCCUCAAAACUAUAUCUAGUGCCAUGUAAAUUUCGGCAUAUUUCCUACUUAGUUUCUCAGGGGUAACAUCAACUCCACGACAAGCGGUUACAACUACACUCACAGCCUGAUUAACAAUACUAAUACAUUCGAAGACAUUGUUUACACAAUCAUCAUCAACAGUAGUGAUCCCCAAUACAUAAAUUGAAUUGACCAAUCGGUAAAUAACACGGUACCGGCUCUCUACGCCAACAAUGACUUGCCCACUUGAGGCGGCAAGCGGAUCAUCCCCGAGUGAUGUGUCGCCAUCCUCAGCAGAAUGGUUCUUGCCAGCGGCAAAAGCGAGACGGGUUUGACGAAAGGCAGAAAGUGCCACGAGGGCUCGGGCAGGUGGGAACCAUUCACGGGUUUGGAGCAAGAUAUCAGAUCCAUUAUUGGGUUGGAGGGAGAGAGCUAAACAGGACAUUGCUAACCCUAGUCUCUUUUAGAUCUAGGGUUUUUAUUAAAUUGGUGUCAGAUCUUGAUACUCCGAUCAGAGUGUAGUUUCAAUAUGGGGUUAGCUGUUAAAGAUUCAGGAAGUUUCGGGAAUUAGAUCUAGUGAGAGAUAUGACGUUCAAGAGUAAUAGAGGAAAGUUAAAAUUGAGAUGAAAAGAUUGAAAAUGGGAUGAAAUUAGAUAUAGAAACACUGAGAAAGGUGAGAACGGGAUGUGGAUGUACUUACUAUAGCUGUGUAAAAUGUUGGGAAAUCAGUUCCUGCCUGCCUGAUGCUUGAAUGUUCAUUUUCUUCAUAUAUGAGCUUGGCGUAGAGAGGAGAGAAACGACGAUUACAGAUGAGAUGAGACUCGGGUAAAUGGGCCUAUUUAAGUAUAAAUUGUUUCGGGCCUACAACAGAUAUGGAGACUGCAAUCCGCUAAUUUUUUUUAUAAAAAAAAUAGUUACAUUUUUUAAAAUAAUUACAAC
rnacentral:lncRNA from 1 species